AGAGUUUGAUCCUGGCUCAGGAUGAACGCUAGCUACAGGCUUAACACAUGCAAGUCGAGGGGCAUCAGUUUGGUUUGCUUGCAAACCAAAGCUGGCGACCGGCGCACGGGUGAGUAACACGUAUCCAACCUGCCUCAUACUCGGGGAUAGCCUUUCGAAAGAAAGAUUAAUAUCCGAUAGCAUAUAUUUCCCGCAUGGGUUUUAUAUUAAGAAAUUCGGUAUGAGAUGGGGAUGCGUUCCAUUAGUUUGUUGGCGGGGUAACGGCCCGACCAAGACUACGAUGGAUAGGGGUUCUGAGAGGAAGGUCCCCCGACACUUGGAACUGAGACACGGUCCAAACUCCUACGGGAGGCGA
rnacentral:rRNA from 1 species